GCUGCUGGUAGGGAAGAUGUUCUCUCUGGUCCACUCUGGUGGGUUGUACAGGCUGUUCACAGGUCUCGCUCCGUGUGCCCAGGACCCCUGUGAGUGUCUAGGGAGGCCAGAGGCUCCGGGCAGGCCUGGGAAGGAGAGAGGCGGAACUCCUCCGUCCAAGGCCUGAACUCCUCACAAGGACCCCUGCUGGGGUGAAGGGAGGCAGAAGGCCUGACUUCUGCUCCAGAGACCAGAGCAUCCCAGGGAGCAUUGCCCGGCAGGGACAGCUGGAGGCAGAAGGCCAGUGUGCACACAGUCCCGAUGACCUGGCAGGCAGCCAGGAAGCCAGCAGGAGUCGCUGUGGCUUAAACAGAGGGGAGUGACUCUCCUGGUCUGUGAGCAUGGCUGAGGCCCACCUGGCCUCCUCCAGGACUCUGUGAGCUGCCCUCUGAAUGGUGCAGCUCUGCCUGCAGUGCCUGUUCUGGGACCAAGUGCCAUCGUGGCCAGGGUCAUCCCCACCCCCCUAUCCCUGUGGAUAGUGACCCAGGUGUCAUGUGGUCGGCAGGACAAACCCAGGGCUGGGGGCUAGUCCUGCCACCCGGGUUCUUUGCUCUGCCAGCCGAAGGCUUUCAGAAGUUAAAUUCAAAGUUGCUGGAGGUUUUGAGUCACUUUUUUUUCUUUUUUUCAAUAGCGCCUCUUGAGUGAAAAUCAGGCAGCUGUGUGGGCGGCCGUUAAGGGUGCCUCCUUUCCACAUCGAGAGCUACCCACACAGCAGAUUUUAGUGGCACUGAAGUGGAACCUGAUUUUGCCUCUCAGCUGCUAUAUUAAAAUAAAAUGCCCUUAAGCUGAUUAUAAAGAUACCAAUUUAGAUGUAUGGAUACCAUUUCCCUGAGGGAAGGAACAUCUUCAUUGAUUCUGAGACCUCACAUCACCUCAUGCGCCUGGGUGGGUGCAUGUCACUCCAUCUUCUAGCACUUUCUAGCAGAGAUAUGGCCCCAUAAGGAGGGGUGGCCGUGGGAGGAGCUCUAGACUGCCAACCUGCUGUGUGAUUUCAGUGCCUCUGUCCCCACGGGGACAUUCACUCUGCUUGUCCCCCUAACCACAUCCCCGGGAAGCCUGGAUGGGCUGUGAGGG
rnacentral:lncRNA from 1 species